rnacentral:tRNA from 1 species
CGUGGCCUUGUAGUUAAGACACCAGGCUGGUAACCUGCGGGGUCGCAGGUUCGAGCCC